rnacentral:misc_RNA from 1 species
GAAAUGCGAUAAGCAAUGCGAAUUGCAGAACCGUGAGUCAUCAGAUUUUUGAACGCAACUGGCGCUGGCUGGGUCUCCAGCCAGCAUGCUUGUUUCAGUGUCUUGUUUUCUCCUCACUCAUAACUUAAUGCGCGAGAUACCCUUCUCUUGUUAAGCAUGAAAGCACACUGCUCCUGCGAGCGACUUUUGACUAGCUCAAGAGUCGCACACAAUGCAGACGUCACAUUGCUCACAAUCUGAACUCAUUGAGAGCAGGAGCAGGCAGCUCACGCUGUCAGUGCUUAGUCACUUAAACUUUAUUAGCGUCUGAAAUCAAGCAGGACCACCCGCUGAACUUAA